CCUUGACAUGUUGGGAACUUUCCAGAGAUGGAUUGGUGCUUCGGGAACCCAAACACAGGUGCUGCAUGGCCGUCGUCAGCUCGUGUCGUGAGAUGUUGGGUUAAGUCCCGUAACGAGCGCAACCCCUAUCCCUAGUUGCUAGCAGUUCGGCUGAGAACUCUAGGGAGACUGCCGGUGACAAACCGGAGGAAGGUGGGGAUGACGUCAGGUCAUCAUGGCCCUUACGGCCAGGGCUACACACGUGCUACAAUGGCGCGCACAGAGGGCUGCAAACCCGCGAGGGGGAGCCAAUCUCACAAAACGCGUCGUAGUCCGGAUCGCAGUCUGCAACUCGACUGCGUGAAGUCGGAAUCGCUAGUAAUCGUGAAUCAGAAUGUCACGGUGAAUACGUUCCCGGGCCUUGUACACACCGCCCGUCACACCAUGGGAGUGGAUUGCACCAGAAGUGGUUAGUCUAACCUUCGGGAGGACGAUCACCACGGUGUGGUUCAUGACUGGGGUGAAGUCGUAACAAGGUAGCCGUAGGGGAACCUGCGGCUGGAUCACCUCCUU
rnacentral:rRNA from 1 species